UAUAUUUACAACAUUCUUUUGACCACCUUCAGUGUGUUACUUUACAUUAGGUUCAAUCAGUUAUUUAAACUUUUGUAAGAUAUUGUGUUCUUUUUACAGAUUUGGCAGAAAAAAUAAUUCUCUAAUGUUGGGUGUCCAAAAUGGUGGCCCUACUAAACAAUAUAUCAUUUUUAUAUUAAAAUUCCCUUCUCAGUCAACAUGAACAUCUUUGCAUCUUUGUAUCAGCUUUGAUACAUUUUCUAAACUGAGACUGAUGGUUGGUUUUUUUCUCAUCCUAUAAAAUAGUUAUUGUGCUUUUCGGGAGAUGUUUGAUCUGAUAUGUUUCUAUCAUGUUUUAAGUUGGAUCUUAUUCAGAUUUUCUUGUCUGGUUUAAAUAAACUUAAAUAAAAACUAGUUUUUGUUUACGAGGCACUGACGUAGCCACUAAUAAACAUAAAAAACAAUGCUACCUGGUACCAAUCACCAUCUGGCUCGACCAGCAUGAGUUUAGCAUCAGUUAGCAUCACCUUACCGUUGCAACACCAUGGUUUCUGCAACAUUAAAAGUCCACAUGUUGACUCAAAGAGACAAUCAAAUGUGUAGACCCAUGUGUGUAGGUUCAAACAUCACUGGUCACUGGUGACUGAACAUCCAUUGAAUGUUGCAGACUUGGUAGCAUGAAGUUUCUUGAAGUCCCACAGGUCCAGAGUGUCCUCCUGGAAGGUUUCAACCUGCUCCUCAGGCUAACUUCUACAUUCUGCAGGCCGAAACAUCUGCUGAUGGAAAGGUCAUAAAAAAUGGAGACGUUUCUUGUUGCAAGACUUCAGCCCUGGCCUUAAAGAGCAGUUUCAUCAAGGCCAAAACCUUGUCCUGCAGACUAGAGGUCUCUAAGUAUCAGACCUCCAGUCAGCAGAAACUGUUAUUGUCUCACAUGGUUCCAUAGUUCACUCUUUUUUCAUUUUUUCAUUAACUCAUGGUAUUAUGGAACACGUAUUUUUAAAUAUUCUAGCUGUACCAGAACCUAGAAUUUCCAUUCUAGGAUCUCCUGACUCUCCUCCUCCUCCUGACUCUGCGUGUUCUCCUUGUGGAGGCUCUUCGUCUUCUUCGUCUGGUGGUCUUUCGCCUCCUCUUCAGAGUAGCUCUCCUUCUUCUUGCUGCACCACGACGAGUGCUUCGUCUGCGGCGCCUUCUGGUUUUUCUGGCAGUGCUGGCCCUUCGUCGUCGACGUCGCUUUGUAGCCCGAGCUCGAGACUUACGUCGCCUCACAGUGGAACGUCUCCUGCGAGAUCCUGCCCUCCGUCGUAGUCUGCGGCCCUGCAGAGCAGCGACGACAGCAGGAUCAGCAGCUGCCAGGGCAGCAACGAUACCAGCACGUCGUCUUUUGCCGACACGUCGCAGGGCGGAGGCCCUUCUCCUGCUCCUUGAUCGGCUUCUGCUUCUAGCACGAGCCAUAGUGUGGAGACACCAAAGUACAGUGAAUCUGUGCUCAGUUGUGGUUCAGGUUUCUCAAGUUUAGUCUUAGAGGUUGCUUUAUCUUUGUUAUUGCUUAUUCUUAUUCUUCCUUUUGUUCCUUUCCUUUUCUUCCCCUUUUUCUCGAGGUGGUCGACUGGCGUCUAGACUUUGGCUAGUAGGUUCUGGUGUUCGAAAACUUCAAAGGUUUUGUUUUUAAAUUUCUUUCAUGUCACUAGUGAGGUCACAUUUUUGAUUUAAAAAAAUGAUGUCACUUUUGUUUCACAAAUGAUUUUUCUGACUGGCUCAGGAGGGAAGUUCCUCUGAAAUUCUUGUGUUGAAGACUCUUAACACCUCCUGCACACACAACUUGGUCUGUAUUUUGUCUACCUAUAAAAAUACUUCCUAUCAGAUUGUGAUUAGCAUCAGUGAAGGAUCUCUUAACUAUCAAAAACCCAUGAGCUCCUCAACAUUAAUAAGUGGACUUGGUUCUGGAAUGUUUCAGGUUCGAGUCCACCAGCUCUGAGCAUGGCACUGCUCCCUAAGGGCUUGAGCAGAGGUUACAUUUUGUGGUGUGCUGUGUCACACAUUCAGUUUUUGUUUUUGUUUUUUGCCCAGAAAACAAAGUUUGACAAAGACUUAGGUAAAAGGUAACUUCAAGAAUAUAAAAAAGAUUGCAGGGUACUCUAGCUUCAAAUCCUUGUACAUUCUGGCACAGUAUAUUGGCAAUAAUAUAGAUCAAUUAGUGCAUACAUUAUUUAAAAUUCUAAAUUAAAAUUGAAAUAUUUUUGUAAAGACUUGCUUAAUGCUAUUUUAACAAAAUGGUGUACCUGUGAUUUAUGAAUUGUUUUUAAUUAAUAUGCAAGGGUUUAAUAGGCUAAAGUGGGGGUAACUUAAUUACCCUUUGUUAGCUAUAACUUUUUUUUUUUAGUUAUGGCCAUCUAUGGUUAUUACGAUGUAAAAUUGUUAUUAAACUAGACUAGUGUUUGCACUAGACUACAACAGAACAGAGUACUCUUCAUAUUUUUAUCCUUCACCAGUGUAAUCAGAGGCUGCUGGGGCGCCAUCUGCUGGAGGGGUCAUGUUGUAACCCCUUUGAAAAAAAACAAUCACAACAACUCAUGUUUAACCUUCUUUUGUACGUUUUCUUUAUCUGUGACAAACAUGAAACAGUGUUCUUUCACAUUUUAAUGUCAAGAGAUUUUCAAUGCUCUGAACAAAUAUUUGUUUGCCUCUACUUCCAACUUACUAUAUGUUACAAAGAUGAGUGCUGGGUUGCAUCUUUCCUGGACAUGGAUUUCUUAAUCUACAGACAAAACAUUCUAAUAGACUGACCUGCGAAUUAGAGCAAAAUAAAUUUAUAAAAGCUUUGCCCUUUAGUGAACCAAGAGUGAGUGAGGUUAAGUGCAGUAUUGUUAAAAUUAGGGAUGUCCAGAAUAAUUACAUAUGUAAUAUCCGUAAGAAUUGUUAUAGGUUUUUUCUCCGAUAUCAAGAACUUGAUAACGCACUGCCCGGGUUUCACCAAAUGUGUGCUCUAAAAAUUGUUUUGGGGAAAAACGACUGUAUAAAAAAGGGAAAAACACUAGAUGGCAGCAUUGUAGCUCAUUUUAUUUAUCUAUUUUAAUAACCAGGGGGUUGUAUGCAGAAUGCUGGUGCCAGCAACUCAUAUAGUGGUUUGUACAGAUAAAUACAUAAAUAUUACCAGGUGCUCAAUAGCAUUGUUUAACUGAUCACCUUAGUGAGUAGGUGGAGCUUAACUUCCUUAACCACCAGGUCACCACUGCCCUGCUAUAUUGGUAUCGGUAAAUAUUGAAAUUGGAAAUUAAGUGUUUGGACAAUAUCGGCAUAUCGGUUGUCCCAAGUAAAAAUACCCAAGGCCAACUGCUCCCUCUUGAGAACCCAUGACUACUGAGUAAGAAUGAAUGAGCAUUUGUUCAACGUCAGCUUUUCUCUGCACCAGCAGUGAAACAGGACUUCACUGCUGGUACAGGACUUUAUAUAUCAAAUUCUCUAACGAUAUAUUCUCACCUUUCUUACUAGCAUUAGGGUUGAUUAAAACUAGAAUAAUAAUGUUUUGUUUUAUUAAGAAAGAAAACAAGCCAUUAUCUGUAAUUUUUUUAGCUAAGACACCCUUUUAUUAAGCAAGUUUCAACAAGUCAAUAAUACUUCUUUUUGAAUCCAACAUUGUCGUACACUGUUGCAUACAUUCACAUUGAUUAGCCUUGAUGUCCUAUAACACCUAUAGUUUAAAUAUACAUGACUUGAAACCUUUCAAGUUUGACUCGAGUGUUUGUUCAGUCUUGGAUUUGAUUGGAUUCAAGGGUGGCUGCUUGACACUGUGUUCAAAACUUAUACUGGCUUCAUUACGCUUGCAUUUGUCUUUUUUUAAAUAUAGGUUUCUAGUUAUCUAGUUAUCCUAAGCAUGAACUAUGGUAACUAUGGCUUCCUAUGAGAAAAAAGACUGACUUAUCGUCCCAUUUUGCACCAGUUUGGUUAAAACUAUGGUGAAACUGGCUGGAUGAUUAGUAUUCGCCUCAGCAUCGUAAUGACAUGGCACUGCAUUCUUCAUCCAUUAUUUUUACCUCCUCCUUUAGUUUCAAAGUUUGUUGACUUGUUGGUUAGAUUGAUCAGUUGCUAGUUUUUCUGUUGCUCAAUUCACUUACCACUCUGUAAUCGUCCAUUUCUUUCACCUAAAACUGGCUGUACCUUCACGAGGUCUUUGACUAGAAACCUUGAGGCCAUAAUGAUGGUAAUCUUGAAGGAGCCUGCUGUCCUUACUGAUUCAAAUUCAUAUUGGUUCCUACGUGCCACCAGAUCUCCUUAUUGCCUCCUUCACUUCAAAACUGGCUGCGUUGCCUCAAGAUCAUUUGUAGACAUUGCGCGAUAAACAAUGUAGCCACUAACACCAUCAAGAUGAAGUUAGGGUGAUUGGUGGCCAGUAAGCCCCAAGGCCUGUCCCUACAAGGGACCAGCCGGACUUUCAAUUGUCUGGUGGAGCCAGCAACCACCAGCAACCAAGCUAGUAAGACCAGCGACAGCCAUGACAGCUGUCACUGUUCCUCUCUGCCCUUUUUUUGUUGUUCGACGAGGUACGAGUCUCAAAAAAAAGUAGUCUGAAACAUUACUUCAUCAGACUUGAUUAGAAAGUUUGAAAAUGAAGCUAGCAAUCUAGGUCCUCCUACUUCCUCUCCUUCUCCUCCUGACUCUGCGUGUUUUUCUUGCAGAGGCCCUGCGUCUUCGCCGCGGGGUUUUUCGUUUCCUCUUUAGAGUAGUCCUCCUCCUCCUGGCUGCGCCACGACGAGAGCGUGCACGUCUUCGACGCCUCUUAGACGUAGACCUUCGGCGUCGUCUUCUUCUGGAACCGGAGCGAGAACGAGACCUGCGCCGUCUCACAGUGGAGCGCCUCCUGGCCUUUGAACGAGACCCUGCACGCCUGCGUCUACGACGGCGGACCUGAGUAAUGGUACCGACAGCAGGCAUGACAGCAGGGUCAGCAGCAGCAACAGCUGCAGCAAUUCCUACUCGCCUUCGUCGUCUGGCAGGACGCACUACACCACGCAGUGAGGCAGACCCCCUGCGGCUACGAGAACGGCUUCUUGAGCGGCUUCUACUCGUAGCCAUGGUGUUAAGAUUCACAGGUUCCGUUGUGGACUCCGUGUCUACGGUGAUAUGAGAUGCUCAAGAGGAAAUAGUGGGUCUUUCGUUCGUUUGUUUACUCUUUGUUAUUUCCCUUUUGUUUCUUAUUUCCUCCUGGGCUUAAUUAAGGAAUUGGAUUUCGAUAAAAUAUAGUUUCACUUACAGGUUCUGGAUGAUCGAAACUUCAAAGUUUUUUAGGGAAAUGCCUUUUAUGUAAAAUGUGACAUCAUCAUCAGCCAAGUUAGGAAAUUAGGGAAGGAAGAUGAUGUCAUCACUCAAUUAUGUGAACUACAGUCCUUAAAGCACUGGUUUAACAGUAAUGGUUCUGUGGCUAAAUGGUAAUAUUGAAUUACAUUACCUUCUGUUCCAUUUCUGCACACAAAAACACACUCUGUUACACAAUGUCUGUCUGCUGUCAAAAGAAAGUUCUCAAACAUUCCAGAAACAGAAAACAGUCUUAACAUAAGAACAUAGGAGGCUAUGCUAGGCAUAGAAAUAAUAGAAAAAUUAAAGAAUAAAGAAUAAAAUCCCUUGUUUGUUGAUAUCCUUUCUCGCAUUUAAUCAAGUUACCCAGACAUAUUUAAUUCUAAUUAUUGUUGAGUCAUUGUUGUUAAACACAAAUAGCCAACUAGCAGGCUGCAAGGCAUUUUAAUUAUUCAUAAACAAAAAAGUUCUUAAUGCCAAAAACAGACUCGAUGCAACACAUUGAGGUACUGCAGUGACUUUUGCAACCAACUAUUUUUUUUUCAUUUUCAAACAUGUGACAAUCAGAUUUGUGCAUGUGAAAGAUUGACUCUAAACCUGGACAUAUCUGACCCGCCACACGUGAGACUGUACUGUGAUAGGUCCACGAAAUACAACUAUGCAGCUUUUAUUUUAAAGGCAACUACAUUGUCUGUGUUUCUAAACUAACCUCAUUCUCUGAAUUUGUCAAAAAAACAAUGUUUGGUGGACUCAAACCCAUGAAAGCACAAAACACCAUGUGACCAAGUGGCACAUUAACAAAAUAUAGACUGGAGCACUUGGAAUACAAGUGUUAUGCUGAACGUAAGCGACGAAACAACAAAUAAAACGUGUUAAGAGCAAGCAAACCAAUUAUCGGACUGGUGUAAAAGAAAAUGGAGUCUUGUAUUGUUAUGUGGGAUGAUGAAAGACUGGAGCUGCAGGCUUUGGUCAAUGAAAGGAACUAUGACGGCGAGUGAUUUGUUCUCAGGUAAAUGCACGGACAAGCUGAAACUGGUUGGUGAUACAACUGAUGGCACGUGUUUCAUCUACUGUACUGAUAAACCUAGUUGGUGUUUGAAGCUGUUAUUGGUUCAAACACUUUUUCCACUUUUACCUUUUCCCCCCACUUUUUCCACCUGUUUAACGGAGACAGGCAGAAAACUAAGUGACCAAACCCAUCCAAUAACCUGUUGUUUUAAGAGAUUACAGAAGCGUCUCCGGUAAGUAUUUUCUAUAAUAAACUUUAUUCAUGUCACUUCCAUCACAUCAACACAUAUAACUUUAGUUUAAAUACAAGCUAAACCACUCUCUAGACCACCUUGAGGGAUUUUCUUAACAUUUGGUAUAAAUUAGAAAAGCCUAAACAUCUCAUCCUACAUUUGAAAUAUACAUCAAUUGAAAAUAUUGAGUUGGUUCAAGGUCAAUCGUAAAAUAUGUUAUGGUGGUGCCCAGUUUCUAUUAUGUUAUAUAUUGUGAAAUAUAAAAAAAAUAUUGUUGUAAGUUUCAUUUCAUCUGACAGACUACAGUUUAAGCUUGUCAGAUUCUGGCAGUGGAAGUCACUGUGGUCUCAUUAAACAUAACAUCCCUCUCAAACGUUCAUUCUGUCUGUUGUAUACAUCAUUUGAUGAGUCUCUGAAAUCUGUCAUUUUUCUUUUCCUAAAAAUAUCACCCUUCAUUUUCUAGGGGGGAUUAGAUUAGAAUCGAUUAGUUUAGUAUCGAUUAGUUUAGAUACCAAAAUGGUGAAACCGUACCAUAUCUUGUUAUUUCACUUUUCAGGUACAUUAAUUUAGGCUACAAGGUCCCCUAUGUUUAAAAGUUAAUGCUGAUCAACUGCUGGUAAAACCAACAUGUGACUAGCAUCAGAAUACAUUACCGUUACAUCGCCAUUGAUUGGUUGCUUUUAUCCGUGAUAAUCCUGUUGGGUUCUUUGAGUUUUCUUAGUUCAUGUUGGUCAACAACUGCCAUUCUGGAACUGGAUAAAUUCAGUUGGCCACCUCCAGAGUCCGCAUCAUACCCUAAGGGUUUGAUGCGGACUCUGGUGGUGGUCAAUAGUACUUUGCUGCUAAUGAGUCUUGACUUUUGGGUCCUGUGUUUUUUUGAAAGUCAGAUUUUUUUUUGCUGCCUCAGGCUAAUUCUCUUCUCUGAAGCCUUAUGAACAAUACUAGCUUCAUGUUUCGAGGCCAAAAAACUGUCAGAGGUAAAACGUCUUUGACUGGCAGGAAGGUCAAAUGACUUACCACCAUCUGGUGGACCCUGGUAUUUUCUUUUUCUUGCUCUUGGUUUUUUUUGGUGGUAGUUGUCAUCUAAAAUGUUGCAUUACUGCCUUUUGGUCAUUUCUUUACAUUCUUGUUAACAAUGAGUGCGGGUAGUUUUUGUGUAGACAAAUGUUGGUCAGUGGUGAUGCAUUUGCUGACCAUAAAACAGACAAUA